rnacentral:rRNA from 1 species
AACGAACGCUGGCGGUGUGCCUCAUACAUGCAAGUCGUACGCGAAUCCUGCCGCAAGGCAGGGUUUGAGUGGCAAACGGGUGCGUAACACGUAGGUAAUCUUCCUUUGAGUUGGGGAUAAGCCCUCGAAAGGGGUCUAAUACCGAAUAACACUUCGGGCCGGCAUCGGCCUAGAAAUUAAAGAUGGCCUCUGCUUGCAAGCUAUCGCUCGGAGAUGAGCCUGCGGCCGAUUAGUUAGUUGGCGGGAUAAAGCCCACCAAGACUUCGAUCGGUAGCCGGUCUGAGAGGAUGUCCGGCCACACUGGGACUGAGAUACGGCCCAGACUCCUACGGGAGCAGCAGUAGGGAAUAUUGCGCAAUGGGCGAAAGCCUGACGCAGCGACGCCGCGGUGGGGGA